UCUGGUCUUGGGACACUGUCAGGUGGGCAGUUUGACUGGGGCGGUCGCCUCCCAAAAGGUAACGGAGGCGCUCAAAGGUUCUCUCAGUACGGUCGGAAAUCGUACGUAGAGUGUAAAGGCAAAAGAGAGCUUGAUUGCAAGACAUACAGGUCGAGCAAGGAUGAAAAUCGGACUUAGUGAUCCGGUGGUUCUGCGUGGAAGGGCCAUCGCUCAACGGAUAAAAGCUACCCUGGGGAUAACAGGCUUAUCUCCCCCAAGAGUCCACAUCGACGGGGAGGUUUGGCACCUCGAUGUCGGCUCAUCACAUCCUGGGGCUGUAGUAGGUCCCAAGGGUUGGGCUGUUCGCCCAUUAAAGUGGUACGCGAGCUGGGUUCAGAACGUCGUGAGACAGUUCGGUCCCUAUCCGUCGCAGGCGUAGGAAAUUUGAGAAGACCUGUCCUUAGUACGAGAGGACCGGGAUGGACGUACCUCUGGUGUACCAGUUGUCCUGCCAAGGGCAUGGCUGGGUAGCUAUGUACGGAAUGGAUAAGCGCUGAAAGCAUCUAAGCGCGAAGCCAACUUCAAGAUAAGAUUUCCCACCGCAAGGGUAAGACCCCAGAAAGACUAACUGGUUG
rnacentral:rRNA from 1 species